CACAGAACCAAUAUGUACCACUGUGAACCCUGGGUGUGCUGUCUUCUUUGGCUCGUGAUCCAUGGGGAUCACACACUUUGCCAGAAAAAAAGAGUUCCCAACUGAAAUAUAUUGUCUCGUAAGGAUGUAUUUGGAAGAAAGGUCUGUGGGAAGAGGCCUCCCACUGGAAGUAUCCAUUUCCAUUUGGACAACCUUUUUUGACUCCUCUUCUGCCAGCAACUUGCCUGGAAAUAUGCUGCUAUCCCAAAAACAGAGGGCUGUAACAAGAUGGAUGGCCAUGGAACCUCUGGAAUUGGAAUAUUCUCCCACGUGCUGUUCCUGUGGACUUGUGACCAUUUUUUACUCCUCUUCUGCAAGAAACUGGCCUGGAGAUAAGCUGCUAUCCCUAAAACAAAGGGCUGUAAGAAGAUGGAUGACCACGGAUCCUGUGGAAUGGAAAUAUUUUCACAAGAGCUGUCGCUGCUUGACUUGUGGGUAAAAGUCUGGCCAUAAUGGCUAGAUGGCAUGCACCAUCGUACAGGAGUGCAUGGCUUCCAUUGGUUGUCAUGAACUAUGGUUUAUCAGUCAUCGAGGGGCAUCAUUCAAGGAGGUGUUCUUGGUCUUGGAGGCAAGAUGGACCGUCAGCAAUGCAUGCAGUUUUCUCUCAAGUCAUGGGUGAAACGGGAACCCAUAUGAGACUACAACAAUGAAUGUCCACAGACACAUGAAACCUGGUGUUUGAUAAUGUCCGUGGUCUCCUCUAAACUGAAGGAGAAGAGUUUGCCAAGCAUGAGAAAAUCUACAGAGGCAGGCCAUGAAUUAAAUGCUAAAGGAUUCUUUCGCUCAACUUCUGCCAAACGAUGACCUCAGUUGCACAUCUUCUUAGGAAUCAGGAUGUAUUUCGAAUAAAGGUCUGUGGGAAGUGGCCUCCCAGUUGAAGUAUCAAUUUCCUUUUGGACACACAUUUUGGACUCCUCUUCUGCCCAAAGUGGCCUGGAAAUAAGCUGCUAUCCCAAAAACAAAUGGCUGUAAUGACGUGAAUGGCCACGGAUCCUCUGGAUUUGAAACAUUCUCCCAAACGCUCUUCCUGGAUGACUUGUGGGGGAAAAUCUGCUGAUAAUGACUGCAUGGCAUGCACCAUCGUAAAGGAUGCAGGACCUCGUUUAGUUGUCAUGAACAAUGGUUUACCAGUCAGCGAGUGUCAUCAUUCAAGGAUGUGUUCUUGGUCGGUGAGGCAAGCUGGACCUUCAGCAAAGCAUGUAGUUUUUCUCUCAAUGGAUGUUUGAGAAAAGAAUAAAGUGCCUUGGGUUUCUCUUGGCAUGCUAUUCUAGGAGCCCCGUGUUUCAUUUUCAAAUGGAAUGUGAAUACACUUUUGUCCUGCUCUAAGGAAAAAGAGAUUCAUGCUUCUUUAAAAAUAAUCUGUGUAUCUGUGACUUACGGUUUGAAUGGCCAUUUCCUCUGCUGGGCCCCUUCUGGAAACUUAGAGAGGUUUGAAUCGUGGCCCAGAGGAAAGAGAAUCCACUGGAUUCCUGACAUGAGAGGGCAAACAACUCAAA